UCAACAGACGAAAUCGGUUUGCUUAUUGACAGCGAGGUUGACAAAACCAGUGGUCUGAAGUUUUUUAUUUCAAAUAUUACUUGAAUUGCACGGGCAAUGGAAAAUAUUCCGAUUAUAAUUUCGGAAUACAAAAAUUAUUCGGUAAUCGGCUAGUUUUGGCAACCGUCGAGAUUUUGUGACUUCCUCUAACAGCGGAACAGAUACUAGACUGUCUAUCGGUUAUGCAUUCAAACUGAAUAGCUUCUGCAGUGAAUACUGGUGCUAAUUGCUAGUGCUAGUUCAAAAUACGUACUGACCUCCCUUCAUAAUAGCUAGCGAGAAAAAAAUCACCAAUAAAUUCUUCUAUUCCAAUAUUCUUUUGUGCUUAUUUACAGAAAUUCCCGAAGCAAACUAGGUUUCCUUUAUUUAUAAGUAUCGAUAAAUCGACCCAUUAAAUUGUUUUGCAUCCACCGAUUUA